GGUCGGAUGGUGUAGUUGGUUAUCACGUCAGUCUAACACACUGAAGGUCCCCAGUUCGAGCCUGGGUCCGAUCA